UUCUAAGUUCAUAUGUAGAUUAGGUUUUUUACAUUAAAAUAUUUUGAUGAGAAUUUGAGCCUGUCUUUCAAUGUGUGGACAGAGUCUCUUAGACAUAAGAAAAAUGCUCAUAGGAAACAAUAGUUUCUUAGGAAGUUAUUGGAAAAAAUUUUAAUUCAUUCACAGUAAAAUCACCUCACGGCAUAUCUUGUAAAUGACAAUGCCUAUCUGUGGUAUCUAUUUCAGGGAUUUCUUUUCUCUUCUUUGAGCAUCAGACUGCCUGAGGAAUGGCUGAGAUCCUCUGAUCCUUUACCAGAUAGCACAAUUUUCGGGAGCUCUCGUAUGAUGAUGACCAGAGUCCUGAUAACUCUUGGUCCAUACCCAGAGAACUCUCAAGAGCGAUGGCAGAACUGCAGCAAAGGUCAACACAAAGAAG
rnacentral:lncRNA from 1 species